GACGAACGCUGGCGGCGUGCUUAACACAUGCAAGUCGAACGGAAAGGCCCUGCUUUUGUGGGGUGCUCGAGUGGCGAACGGGUGAGUAACACGUGAGUAACCUGCCCUUGACUUUGGGAUAACUUCAGGAAACUGGGGCUAAUACCGGAUAGGAGCUCCUGCUGCAUGGUGGGGGUUGGAAAGUUUCGGCGGUUGGGGAUGGACUCGCGGCUUAUCAGCUUGUUGGUGGGGUAGUGGCUUACCAAGGCUUUGACGGGUAGCCGGCCUGAGAGGGUGACCGGCCACAUUGGGACUGAGAUACGGCCCAGACUCCUACGGGAGGCAGCAGUCGGGAAUAUUGCACAAUGGGCGGAAGCCUGAUGCAGCAACGCCGCGUGCGGGAUGACGGCCUUCGGGUUGUAAACCGCUUUCGCCUGUGACGAAGCGUGAGUGACGGUAAUGGGUAAAGAAGCACCGGCUAACUACGUG
rnacentral:rRNA from 1 species